AGGGAAUCUUCGGCAAUGGACGAAAGUCUGACCGAGCAACGCCGCGUGAGUGAGGAAGGUCUUCGGGUCGUAAAGCUCUGUUGCCAGGGAAGAAGGGCGAGGAGAGUAACUGCUCUUCGCUUGACGGUACCUGAGAAGAAAGCCCCGGCUAACUACGUGCCAGCAGCCGCGGUAAUACGUAGGGGGCAAGCGUUGUCCGGAAUUAUUGGGCGUAAAGCGCGCGCAGGCGGUUCUUUAAGUCUGGUGUAUAAGCCCAGGGCUCAACCUUGGGACGCACGGGAAACUGGGGGACUGGAGUGCAGGAGAGGAGAGUGGAAUUCCACGUGUAGCGGUGAAAUGCGUAGAGAUGUGGAGGAACACCAGUGGCGAAGGCGACUUUCUGGCCUGUAACUGACGCUGAGGCGCGAAAGCGUGGGGAGCAAAC
rnacentral:rRNA from 1 species